rnacentral:lncRNA from 10 species
CUGGUGGGAAGUGAUUGAAUUAUGGGGGCAGAUCUUUCCUGUGCAGUUCUCAUGAUAGUGAAUGAGUCUCAUGAGAUCUGAUGGUUUUAAAAAGAGGAGAUUCCCUGCACAAGCUCUCUUUUUGCCUGCCACCAUCCAUGUAAGAUGUGACUUGCUCCUCCUUGCCUUCUGCCAUGAUUGUGAGGCCUCCCCAGCCACUUGGAACUGAAGCAAACACUGCUAUUGCCACCUUUUUGCAGAGGAAGGUACUGAGGUGAAGCGACUUGCCCAAACCCUACAAAAAGCACUGUGCCAGGUGCUGGAUUUAUAACCACAAAAACAGAGGGGCAGAAUGUCUGCAUUUCCAGUGGGCAAGACAGACAAUGUGCCUAUCUGUGCAUUUCCUUGUAAAAUCCAGCUUUCGCAAGAGCAUGAACAAAUCAGUUUGGCAAGACCUCCCCACCCUCAACAUCUGAUCACGUGUCUCAUCCUCCAUGAUGCCACAGAACUCUGCAGAGCCACCACCAGCAAGAAGGUCCUCACCAGAUGCAGCCCCUUGACCUUAGACUUCUCACCUUCAAGAACUGUGGUCUUCAGGGCUGUCUCCAUGAAGUCAUCACCAGCCUUCCCAGGCCAGGACUCUCCAUGCCAUCCUUAGCAAGGAGAAGAAAACAAAUACCCGGCAUCCAUUUCCAGGUCCUGCAUGAUGUGAUGUCAGAAGAGAAGACAGGAAUAUAUGAAACAGGAGCAAUCACAAGAACGUAACAGAGGACACAGGUGUCAUGUUCAUGGCACAGAACAGAAGCCCCAUAGAGUUCAAAAGACGGGAUGACUGGAGAUAUCCUUGACACAUUGAGCUAAAAAAAAAAACUAAAAACAAGGCCAGGCACAGUGGCUCACACCUGUAAUCCCAGUACUUUGGGAGGCCAAGGUGGGUGGAUCGCCUGCGGUCAGGAGUUCGAGACCAGCCUAGCCAACAUGGCGAAAUCCCAUCUCUACUAAAAUACAAAAAUUAGCUGGGGGUGGUGGCAAGUGCCUGUAAUCCCACCUACUCGGGAGGCUGAGGCAGGAGAAUUGCUUGAACCUGGGAGGUGGAGCUUGCAGUGAGCCGAGAUCACGCCACUACACUUGAGCCUUGAGCCUGGGCGACAGAGCAAGACUCUAUCUCAAAAAUAAAUAAAUAAAUAAAUAAAUAAAUAAACAAAAAAGCA